rnacentral:lncRNA from 1 species
ACAAAAACAAAAACGAAUGUGCAGAAAGUAACCAAAGAGGGAACUGCAGUUUCACUGUAGCAUGGGUGAGGCCGGCGACCUGCCAUCUGUGCUCCUCAGGCUUCCUUCCUGUUGGCGCCUGUGCCGUGCAUCUGGGAGGACAGACUCAGAGGCAGAAGACAAGGAUGAAGCUUGUUCCGUCCAAAGGAAAGAGCACUUCAGACAAACACUGGAGGCAGUUUCAUACCAGAACAUUCCUGCCUGAGGCGGCUGCCCAAGGGACACUUCUCCCCUCGCCUGCCGCCCACUCCCCGCCUGCUCCCCAAAUUCUGCAGAGAGGAAGUCGAAUCUAAAUAACACCACUGCGAUUAUUGCAAAUUUUGUAACAGGCACCAGUCUUUAUUUUGUGGGAAUCAAGAAGGAAUAGAAAAGCAAGGCGUUGGAUGAAUCAAGGCCUACUCGGCCUUCUGAAUCUUGAAACGUAAUGCCCACUCCGCUGUUUGAUUAGUGACAGCUUCCUGCUGCUGGCCAGGAAGCCCCUUUCCUAACGGGGCCAUCCAGACAGUUCCGAGUCCCGCGUCAGCAGCAGCCACAGCACGUCCUCCCCCUGGGCUGCGUGGCCCAGGAGGAAGGGCACACCUUGUCUGUCCCAUCUGAAUGAUGGUUUAGUUCUCUUUAACCCUUCACGGACUCAGCACCCAAGACUCCCUGGCUUGGUGCCGCCCCUGUGAAUGAGCCCCCCGCUCAGUCUAUUCUGUUUGUGAGAGAAGCAGGAAUAUUACUCAUAUUGACUGGGUCCUUUCUGUUGGAUCAUGCCUGACAUUCAACCAGAUCCGCCUUUUAGUGCUUUGGUAACAUGAGUUGCAAAUAGAUAGGGCCAUUACUUCCUCAUGUAAAGCGAGGCCAGGCUGGUAUACAAGAUUCCUGCAGGAGUGCUCUUAUGGCAGUUUCCUCCGUAAUUUUAUCAUCUACUUGAUGCUACUGUGCAAAUUCUGG